rnacentral:rRNA from 1 species
UCGCCACGGUAAUACCAGCUCUCCGAGUGGUGUGGAUGUUUAUUGGGCUUAAAGCAUCCGUAGCUGGCUGAGUAAGUCCCCCUGUUAAAUCCAGCAGCCUAACUGCUGGGCCGCUGGAGAUACUGUAUGACUUGGAGGCGGGAGAGGCUGCCGGUAGUCCCCGGGGUAGGAGUGAAAAUCCACUGAUCCCGGGAGGACCUGCAGUGGCGAAGGC